UGCGUAGGCGGCCCGGAAAGUUGGGUGUGAAAUCCCUCGGCUCAACCGAGGAAUUGCGCCCAAAACUACCGGGCUCGAGGAAGACAGAGGUGAGCGGAACUUGCGGUGGAGCGGUGAAAUGCGUUGAUAUCGCAAGGAACACCAGUGGCGAAAGCGGCUCACUGGGUCUUUUCUGACGCUGAGGCACGAAAGCUAGGGGAGCGAACAGGAUUAGAUACCCUGGUAGUCC
rnacentral:rRNA from 1 species